rnacentral:rRNA from 1 species
UACAGAGGUCUCAAGCGUUGUUCGGAUUCAUUGGGCGUAAAGGGUGCGCAGGUGGCGCGGCAAGUCGGAUGUGAAAUCUCGGAGCUUAACUCCGAAACUGCAUUCGAUACUGCCGUGCUUGAGGACUGGAGAGGAGACUGGAAUUUCCGGUGGAGCGGUGAAAUGCGUAGAGAUCGGAAAGAACACCAACGGCGAAAGCACUCUGCUGGGCCGACACUGACACUGAGAGACGAAAGCUAGGGGAGCGAAUGGG